GGGGUAUAGUUCUUCGGAACUAGAGACCGGCGCACGGGUGCGUAACGCGUAUGCAACCUACCUUUCACAGGGGGAUAGCCCAGAGAAAUUUGGAUUAAUACCCCAUGGUAUAAUUGGAUGGCAUCAUUUGAUUAUUAAAGUCACAACGGUGAAAGAUGGGCAUGCGUCCCAUUAGCUAGAUGGUAAGGUAACGGCUUACCAUGGCAACGAUGGGUAGGGGUCCUGAGAGGGAGAUCCCCCACACUGGUACUGAGACACGGACCAGACUCCUACGGGAGGCAGCAGUGAGGAAUAUUGGACAAUGGGCGCAAGCCUGAUCCAGCCAUGCCGCGUGCAGGAUGACGGUCCUAUGGAUUGUAAACUGCUUUUAUACGGGAAGAAACCCUCUUUCGUGAAAGAGAUUGACGGUACCGUAAGAAUAAGGAUCGGCUAACUCCGUGCCAGCAGCCGCGGUAAUACGGAGGAUCCAAGCGUUAUCCGGAAUCAUUGGGUUUAAAGGGUCCGUAGGCGGCCUUAUAAGUCAGUGGUGAAAUCUCCCGGCUCAACCGGGAAAUUGCCAUUGAUACUGUAGGGCUUGAAUUAUUAGGAAGUAACUAGAAUAUGUAGUGU
rnacentral:rRNA from 1 species